GACAGAGGGUGCAAACGUUGCUCGGAAUCACUGGGCGUAAAGCGCACGUAGGCGGACUUUUAAGUCGGAGGUGAAAUCCUGGAGCUCAACUCCAGAACUGCCUUCGAUACUGAGAGUCUUCGAGUUCGGGAGAGGUGAGUGGAACUGCGAGUGUAGAGGUGAAAUUCGUAGAUAUUCGCAAGAACACCAGUGGCGAAGGCGGCUCACUGGCCCGAUACUGACGCUGAGGUGCGAAAGCGUGGGGAGCAAACAGG
rnacentral:rRNA from 1 species